UAAUACUCCAUAGUCCAUGGAAUCUGGAAUGAUCCAUGGAUGAAAGUUCCGGCGCUUAAGGAUCGGUCUGCGGCCUAUCAGGUUGUAGUGGGUGUAACGUACCUACUAGCCGAUGACGGGUAUGGGCCUUGAGAGAGGGAGCCCAGAGUUGGAUUCUGAGACACGAAUCCAGGCCCUACGGGGCGCAGCAGUCGCGAAAACUUCACAAUGGGGGCAACCCCGAUGAGGGAAUUCCUAAUGCUAGCACAUUUGUGUUAGCUUUUCUUUAGCGUAGAUAACUAGAGGAAUAAGGGCUGGGAAAGACGGGUGCCAGCCGCCGCGGUAAUACCUGCAGCCCAAGUGGUGGUCGAGUUUAUUGAGUCUAAAACGUUCGUAGCCGGUUCGGUAAAUCUUUGGGUAAAUCGGAGGGCUUAACCUUCCGACUUCUGAGGAGACUGCCGAACUUGGGACCGGGAGAGGCUAGAGGUACUUCUGGGGUGGGGGUAAAAUCCUGUAAUCCUAGAAGGACCACCGGUGGCGAAGGCGUCUAGCUAGAACGGAUCCGACGGUGAGGGACGAAGCCCUGGGUCGCAAACGGGAUUAGAUACCCCGGUAGUCCAGGGUGUAAACGCUGCAGACUUGGUGU
rnacentral:rRNA from 1 species